rnacentral:rRNA from 1 species
AGUGAACGCUGGCGGUAGGCCUAACACAUGCAAGUCGAACGGCAGCACAGUAAGAGCUUGCUCUUACGGGUGGCGAGUGGCGGACGGGUGAGGAAUACAUCGGAAUCUACUUUUUCGUGGGGGAUAACGUAGGGAAACUUACGCUAAUACCGCAUACGACCUACGGGUGAAAGCAGGAGAUCUUGGUACCUUUCGCGAUUGAAUGAGCCGAUGUCGGAUUAGCUAGUUGGUGGGGUAAAGGCCCACCAAGGCGACGAUCCGUAGCUGGUCUGAGAGGAUGAUCAGCCACACUGGAACUGAGACACGGUCCAGACUCCUACGGGAGGCAGCAGUGGGGAAUAAUGGACAAUGGGCGCAAGCCUGAUCCAGCCAUACCGCGUGGGUGAAGAAGGCCUUCGGGUUGUAAAGCCCUUUUGUUGGGAAAGAAAAGCAGCAGGUUAAUACCCCGCUGUUCUGACGGUACCCAAAGAAUAAGCACCGGCUAACUUCGUG